rnacentral:rRNA from 1 species
UGGGGAAUUUUGGACAAUGGGCGCAAGCCUGAUCCAGCCAUGCCGCGUGCGGGAAGAAGGCCUUCGGGUUGUAAACCGCUUUUGUCAGGGAAGAAAUCUUCUGAGUUAAUACCUCGGGAGGAUGACGGUACCUGAAGAAUAAGCACCGGCUAACUACGUGCCAGCAGCCGCGGUAAUACGUAGGGUGCAAGCGUUAAUCGGAAUUACCGGGCGUAAAGCGUGCGCAGGCGGUUUUGUAAGACAGAGGUGAAAUCCCCGGGCUCAACCUGGGAACUGCCUUUGUGACUGCAAGGCUUGAGUGCGGCAGAGGGGGAUGGAAUUCCGCGUGUAGCAGUGAAAUGCGUAGAUAUGCGGAGGAACACCGAUGGCGAAGGCAAUCCCCCUGGGCCUGCACUGACGCUCAUGCACGAAAAGCGUGGGGAGCAAAACAGGAUUAGAUA